ACGAAUCAAAUAAACACAAACAAACAAAAAACAAACAAGUAGGAAGAGAAAGAGAUUUGUUUUUUGUUUGUUUUAUUUGUUUGU
rnacentral:ribozyme from 14 species